rnacentral:rRNA from 1 species
GAUGAACGCUGGCGGCGUGCCUAAUACAUGCAAGUCGAGCGAACAGACGAGGAGUUUGCUCCUCUGACGUUAGCGGCGGACGGGUGAGUAACACGUGGAUAACCUACCUAUAAGACUGGGAUAACUUCGGGAAACCGGAGCUAAUACCGGAUAACAUGUUGAACCGCAUGGUUCAACAGUGAAAGACGGUCUUGCUGUUACUUAUAGAUGGAUCCGCGCCGCAUUGGCUAGUUGGUAAGGUAACGGCUUACCAAGGCAACGAUGCGUAGCCGACCUGAGAGGGUGAUCGGCCACACUGGAACUGAGACACGGUCCAGACUCCUACGGGAGGCAGCAGUAGGGAAUCUUCCGCAAUGGGCGAAAGCCUGACGGAGCAACGCCGCGUGAGUGAUGAAGGUCUUCGGAUCGUAAAACUCUGUUAUUGGGGAAGAACAAAUGUGUAAGUAACUAUGCACGUCUUGACGGUACCUAAUCAGAAAGCCACGGCUAACUACGUG